AUACGUAGGGAGCGAGCGUUGUCCGGAAUUACUGGGCGUAAAGGGCGUGUAGGCGGUCUUGCAAGUCAGAAGUGAAAUUCCUGAGCUCAACUCGGGCGCUGCUUCUGAAACUGCAGGACUUGAGUGCUGGAGGGGAUAGCGGAAUUCCUAGUGGAGCGGUAAAAUGCGCAGAUAUUAGGAAGAACACCGGUGGCGAAGGCGGCUAACUGGACGGAAACUGACGCUGAGGCGAGAAAGCGUGGGGAGCAAACAGGAUUAGAUCCCCUGGUAGUCCACGCCGUAAACGAUGAAUACUAGGUGUAGGGGGUAUCGACUCCCUCUGUGCCGCAGUUAACACAAUAAGUAUUCCGCCUGGGGAGUACGGCCGCAAGGUUGAAACUCAAAUGAAUUGACGGGG
rnacentral:rRNA from 1 species